GAAUGCUUGGCUUAGGGAGCAGCACUAUUAGGAGGUGUGGCCUCGUUGGAGGAGGUGUGGCCAUAUUGGCGGAACUGUGUCACUAUCCGGGUGGGCUUUGAGAGCUUCUCCCUCGCUGCCUGAGGAUGCCAGUCUCCUCCUGGCAGCCUUCAGAACGAGAUGAACUCUCAGCUCCUCCAGGGCCACGCCUGCCGUGCUUCCUGCCAUGAUGAUAACAGACUGAACCUCUGAACCUAUUCUAAAUGUGGUGUGACCAGCUGGCUCAAUCUGCUGCCUUGACAUCCUCACCAUGAUGUGCUGGACCUUGAACAGUGAGUUGAAAUAAAACUGUUCUCCCUUAA